GGCCUCCGCGACUGCGUCGGCCCGAAGCCGCAGGAUCGUGGUCUCGACGAUGAGGCGAUCUCUGUUUGAGCGUGCACAGAGGCGGCGCACGAUCUCCAUGUCGCCUUGGUGCAGGGCGUCCUGGGCGGUAAAGGCGAUCAUAUGAUCUACGCGCGCGUCCACUUGACUUUGCUGCACGCCGACGGGCGGUCGACGGUCCAAAAGUACGCGCUCCAGGUCAUCGCGUCCUCUGUGAAUAAUAAGAGGCGAGCGGGCGCCGUCAAAGCGGGUACCCAUGUCGCGCGAGCACGUCCCAAACACGACGUCGAGGUCGGUUGUGUCCAUGUCGUGUACGAUCACACGCUCUACAAGUGCGGCGUGGCCCAUCAGCGCUGCGGUGGCGUACGCGCGCGCGAGUGCGACAGCCAUAGCCUUGGGCCAUCGCGGUCGUACAGAAGCCAGCACGCGGUCCAGAACAUCGAUCCGCCCGAUGCGCGCCGCCGCGUCCAAGAGCCGAAAUGCAUCGUAAGGCACGAGGGUUUGUCCAGCAGGCAGCACCCGUUCGUAGAGCCAUAGCGCAAUGAUGGCAUCGUCCCUCAGCAGUAGCGGCAGUUCGCGGUGUCCCCGCGUGAUAUGGGCCAGCGCCGCAGCGAGUCUCGCGUCACCGACCAAACCUUUCAAAAGGCCAAAGUAACCCCUCUCCAGGCACCGGACAAUGGCGCGAUUGGUGGCAGUCGCCUGCGAACCGGCCAGCGUGCCCGUAAUGGCUUGCUCGACGAGUUUGGCAUCUUGGCCCUGUGCGGCGUCAUGCAGUCGCGCCCAGACCGUCUCGCCGGGAGCGCCCGUGUCACCGGUCCACGCCGCACGCACGACGCGCGCCGCGUCGCCUGGACGAUAGCCACAGACGACUGCGGCUACCAUACGUGUGACCAGCCACGGAGCGUCGACUGAUCCCGGCGACCGGUUGCCUUUGAGGCACAGCCACACCACAGCAUCGUCUUUCCCCGCGUGACCGAGCCGAAGGACGAUACGCAUCCACGAGUCGCGAUCGAGCGGCCAGACGCCCUUGCUCAGGGGCAGCAGGCGGCUUACGGUGUCCAUGUGGCCGCCAGCAGCGGCCAGUUCCAGGCACCUGCGCCAAAACGGCGGCUCGCCGCGCAAGGCAAAGAGAUCCGGUCGACUGAGCGCAUAGUCAACGCCCUCGACGUCGCCGGCGGCACACAAGGAAAAGAGGGCCGCCCAGCGGUACUUGCGUUUAAAGAGCGCGCGACGGUCGAGGACGUGAAAGCGACGCCAGGCCAAUAGGCACGCCCCUAGAGAUCGGUCGUCGAGAAAACCAUCGACCAGGUAGACGAGGACGUCGUCCGAAAGGAUGUCGAUUGGCGGUCGUUGCUCGCGAUCGACCACGCCUCUGACGCCACCGUCGCGGUCGUCGUCGUCGCGUCGUUGAUGCAUACCAAGAGCAAGAAAGAGUCAGUCGAAAAAAAAGAGGCUACUUAUUUUUCGUUGGCAGAGCGCGACUGACCUGAUUGGCCAAAGGGCAAGAGCACGUCGCAAUAAAAAACAGACAACGAUGGCCAAGGGCAGGGCGCCCGGCAAAAAAAAGAGGGACCCAAUGGAUCAUCAGGACCGUUCACGCCCCUCUGAAAUGGCGAUGGGGCAAACUUUUUAAUACUGCGACAACAAAUUGGCAUGCUCCACGAAAAAAAGAGCGCCCAAGGAGACGGACGGCAGGCUCAAAAAAGGUCCACGCCCACAAUGUGAGCCAAGGAAUAAAGACGCAG
rnacentral:lncRNA from 1 species